rnacentral:rRNA from 1 species
UUUAUGGAGAGUUUGAUCCUGGCUCAGGAUGAACGCUGGCGGCGUGCCUAAUACAUGCAAGUCGAGCGAACGGACGAGAAGCUUGCUUCUCUGAUGUUAGCGGCGGACGGGUGAGUAACACGUGGAUAACCUACCUAUAAGACUGGGAUAACUUCGGGAAACCGGAGCUAAUACCGGAUAAUAUUUUGAACCGCAUGGUUCAAAAGUGAAAGACGGUCUUGCUGUCACUUAUAGAUGGAUCCGCGCUGCAUUAGCUAGUUGGUAAGGUAACGGCUUACCAAGGCAACGAUGCAUAGCCGACCUGAGAGGGUGAUCGGCCACACUGGAACUGAGACACGGUCCAGACUCCUACGGGAGGCAGCAGUAGGGAAUCUUCCGCAAUGGGCGAAAGCCUGACGGAGCAACGCCGCGUGAGUGAUGAAGGUCUUCGGAUCGUAAAACUCUGUUAUUAGGGAAGAACAUAUGUGUAAGUAACUGUGCACAUCUUGACGGUACCUAAUCAGAAAGCCACGGCUAACUACGUGCCAGCAGCCGCGGUAAUACGUAGGUGGCAAGCGUUAUCCGGAAUUAUUGGGCGUAAAGCGCGCGUAGGCGGUUUUUUAAGUCUGAUGUGAAAGCCCACGGCUCAACCGUGGAGGGUCAUUGGAAACUGGAAAACUUGAGUGCAGAAGAGGAAAGUGGAAUUCCAUGUGUAGCGGUGAAAUGCGCAGAGAUAUGGAGGAACACCAGUGGCGAAGGCGACUUUCUGGUCUGUAACUGACGCUGAUGUGCGAAAGCGUGGGGAUCAAACAGGAUUAGAUACCCUGGUAGUCCACGCCGUAAACGAUGAGUGCUAAGUGUUAGGGGGUUUCCGCCCCUUAGUGCUGCAGCUAACGCAUUAAGCACUCCGCCUGGGGAGUACGACCGCAAGGUUGAAACUCAAAGGAAUUGACGGGGACCCGCACAAGCGGUGGAGCAUGUGGUUUAAUUCGAAGCAACGCGAAGAACCUUACCAAAUCUUGACAUCCUUUGACAACUCUAGAGAUAGAGCCUUCCCCUUCGGGGGACAAAGUGACAGGUGGUGCAUGGUUGUCGUCAGCUCGUGUCGUGAGAUGUUGGGUUAAGUCCCGCAACGAGCGCA